CCUACGGGUGGCAGCAGUGGUGAAUAUUGGGCAAUGGAGGCAACUCUGACCCAGCAACGCCGCGUGAAUGAUGAAGGUCUUCGGAUUGUAAAGUUUUGUGAUGGGGGAUGAACACAAUGACGGUACCCCAAUAGCAAGCCACGGCUAACUACGUGCAAGCAGCCGCGGCAAUACGAAGGUUGCAAGCGUUAUACGGCAUGAAUGGGCGUAAAGGGUGCGUAGGUGGUUUAGUAAGUUGGCGGUGAAAUUCCGGGGCUCAACCUCGGCGCUACAGCCAAAACGAUUAGACUAGAGUGCAGUAGGGGUGAGUGGAAUUCCUGGUGUAGCGGUGAAAUGCGUAGAUAUUAGGAAGAACAUCAAGGGCGAAGGCGAUUUACUGGACUGUAACUGACACUGAGGCACGAAAGCGUGGGGAGCAAACAGGAUUAGAUACCCGGGUAGUC
rnacentral:rRNA from 1 species